UACGGGGGGUGCGAGCGUUGUCCGGAAUCACUGGGCGUAAAGGGCGCGUAGGUGGCUUGGCAAGCGCGUGGUGAAAGCCCGGGGCUCAACCCCGGGUCUGCCGUGCGAACUGCUAUGGCUUGAGCACUGUAGAGGCAGGUAGAAUUCCGGGUGUAGCGGUGGAAUGCGUAGAGAUCCGGAAGAAUACCGGUGGCGAAGGCGGCCUGCUGGGCAGUGGCUGACACUGAGGCGCGACGAGCGUGGGGAGCAAACAGG
rnacentral:rRNA from 1 species